UACGUAGGGUGCGAGCGUUAAUCGGAAUUACUGGGCGUAAAGCGUGCGCAGGCGGUUCGCUAAGACCGAUGUGAAAUCCCCGGGCUCAACCUGGGAACUGCAUUGGUGACUGGCGGGCUAGAGUAUGGCAGAGGGGGGUAGAAUUCCACGUGUAGCAGUGAAAUGCGUAGAGAUGUGGAGGAAUACCGAUGGCGAAGGCAGCCCCCUGGGCCAAUACUGACGCUCAUGCACGAAAGCGUGGGGAGCAAACGGG
rnacentral:rRNA from 1 species